rnacentral:rRNA from 1 species
AUUGAACGCUGGCGGAAUGCUUUACACAUGCAAGUCGAACGGCAGCACGGGGCAACCUGGUGGGCGAGUGGCGAACGGGUGAGUAAUACAUCGGAACGUGCCCAAUCGUGGGGGAUAACGUAGCGAAAGUUACGCUAAUACCGCAUACGAUCUACGGAUGAAAGCGGGGGAUCGCAAGACCUCGCGCGAAUGGAGCGGCCGAUGUCAGAUUAGGUAGUUGGUGGGGUAAAGGCUCACCAAGCCAACGAUCUGUAGCUGGUCUGAGAGGACGACCAGCCACACUGGAACUGAGACACGGUCCAGACUCCUACGGGAGGCAGCAGUGGGGAAUUUUGGACAAUGGGCGCAAGCCUGAUCCAGCCAUUCCGCGUGCAGGAUGAAGGCCUUCGGGUUGUAAACUGCUUUUGUACGGAACGAAACGGUCUGCCCUAAUACGGCGGGCUAAUGACGGUACCGUAAGAAUAAGCACCGGCUAACUACGUG